AUGUGCCGGGCUUUAACUCUGUUACACUGUAUGACGUACAAACGGGAUUUAAGAAAAGCUCUUAAAAUAUGUGGUGGGCACCAGGCAUCCCGUGUCCGCCUCCCAGACGCAGCCAUUUAUUUCACCUUCCCCCCGCGGCUGCUGGCGGGGCUGACAGCGGGGCGAGCCCCAGCCCCUGCCCUGCUUAGCUGCGGCUCCCUCGGCCACCUCGGGGGCAAACCGGAGGCGAAGAGGUGUGUGUUUGUGCGUGUAUGGUGUAUGUGGGGUGUGUUUGUGUGUGUGUGUGUUUGUGUAUUUGUGCCCCGUGUGCGUGGCGGGCGGGGCACAGCCGCCUCCCCGCCGCGGGGGGGGGGGAUCGCAGCCAGCUCCCUGCCAGCGCCCCGCUCCCAGCCGCCGCAUGGUGAGGGGCUGCGGCGGGGGAAGCGGGACCGGGAGGGGCCGAGGGGAGGCAGGGACGGAGGGAUGGAGGACGGAAGGACGGAAAAAGGAGGAGGCCGGGUGCUGCUGGCUGGUUCCGGCGAUGGCGGCUCGGCCGCUUUCGCUUUCGCUUCCCCUUCCCAGCCGGGGCUCGGUGCCUGCGGCCGUGCCCUGCCGGUAGGAGCCGGCGGCGGGGGGUGGGGGGCUGCGGGGCGGCGCCGUGACCCCCUCCGAGCCCCGACCCCGAGCCCCGAGCCCCAGCCCCGGGGCCCGUCCCGCUGGGGCCGCCCCCCCCGCAGCCCGGGUGCCCCGGGGGUGUCCCGGGCGGGGGGCGCAGGGAGGGGUCUGGGGGGUUUGGGGGGGAUUUGGGGGGGUUUGGGUUUGGUGAAGGUGGCCACAAGUCGCUGGGUCAGCACGGGGUUGGGAGAAAGUAGAGCACAGGGUGACGAGUGGCUUGGCGCUGCGUUUCAGCAGGGUUUCUGUGCCCUUCAGGAGAGGGGAGCUGGUGUAGGGCGUGUAGGACAUGAAGGUUUCCUCAUGGCUCUCUGUCCCCCAUCGCUCUCUGCUUGUGCUUCUGGCAGGGUGGGGGAAGCCCAGGCCUGGGCCACCUGUUGCAGCCGUGGUCCAGGAAUACAGAAAAAUCCGUGUUAG
rnacentral:lncRNA from 1 species